rnacentral:lncRNA from 1 species
AACCCGGGGCGGCUCCUUCCGAAGGCUCCACUCCAGCGGCUCGCUGCGGGAGACCAAGGCCAGCCGCCGUCCCAGGGGACGGCCCUCGGGGAACCUGAAUGACGUGCGAGGCCGUACCUCGGGGCGCUGGACUCCGCUCGGGCGCUCCCGCUCUCCGCUCCCGCUCUCGGGUCCCAAUCCCGACGCUCCGCGCGCUCCCGGACUAAGUGCGGACGCGCCCCACGCCCCCCGGCGCCAGCCCGGGACAGCGCUGCACCUGUUGCCACGUGCGACGCGGCGCUCAGCGGCUGCCACUGCCGCCGGCGCACCUGGCUGCACCGCGCGUCCCGGGACCACGCUCGUCCCCGCAGGAGCCCGGGGCUCCGCCGCACCCAGCGCUAGGGCCCAGGCCGGGCCGCGAGACAGGUAUUGCUAUGUUGCCCAGGCUGCUGCUGGCCUCAAAGCCCUGGACUCAUGUGAUCCUCCCACCUUGGCCUUCUGAGUAGCUGGGACUACAGUCAUGUGCCAUGGUGCCCAGCAAGUAGAUACUAUUAUAUUCAUUUUAUAAGUGAUGAAGUUGAAACCCAGUCUAGUUAUAAAUAUGCCCAGUGUCACGAAGCUAAUAAAUAACAGGAUUAGGAUUGAAAUCCAGGUCAGUCUGACCUUGAACCACCAAAUACACUGCCUUCUUAUAACUCAGCUCUUUGGAGUUCUACAUUUGAUUUACUUUUGUGUUUCAACCCCAGAUGUAUAGUUCAAAAAUAAUACAUAACUUUAAAAAUAAAGAUAAUUUUUAAUGAAAAGAACCAGAAUUAAUUGUAUAAUCUGUUGUUAGAAAAAUCUUUUGGCCAGGUGCGAUGGCUCACAGCGGUAAUCCCAACACUUUGGGAGGCCAAGGCGGGCAGAUCACGAGGUCAGGAAAUUGAGACCAUCCUGGCCAACAUGGUGAAACCCCAUCUCUACUAAAAUACAAAAAAUUAGCCGGGCAUGGUGGUGCACACCUGUAGUCCCAGCUACUCAGGAGGCUGAGACAGGGGAAUCACUUAAACCCGGGAGGCAGAGGUUGCAGUAAGCCAAGAUGGCACCACUGCACUCCAGCCUGGUGACAGAGCAAGACUCCGUCAAAAAAAAAAAAAAAAAAGAAAAAAAAACUCUUAAUGAAGAAAUACAAGUCAGAAACACUUGAGCCAAUUUACUUAAAAAACAGAAACAUACAGAGGGUACCCCUACGACCACUAUCACUAAACAGAGAAUGUAGAAAGAUUUAAGUGUGUUUUACAUGUUACAUGGUUGCAUACUUAAAAUGUCAGCAGAAUCAAACAAAAAAUAGUUAUACACAACUAGAAGACAGAAUUUACCGUAUCAAUAAUACAUUAAAUAACCCAGCAAUAAAAUUAACUUGAAACAGAUGUGUUUCUUAAAAAAAUUGAUUGAAGGGACAGAAAGAUUUCCUGACAAAGAUGCCAAAAGCAAUUGCAACAAAAGCAAAAAUUGACAAACGGUAUCUAAUUAAACUAAAGCACUUCUACACAGAAAAAGAAACUAUCAUCAGAGUGAACAGACAACCUACGGAAUGGGAGAAAAAUUUUGCAAUCUAUUCAUCUGACAAGGUCUAAUAUCCAGAGUCUACAAGGAUUUUAAACAAUUUACAAGAAAAAAAUGAACAAUCACAUUAAAAAGUGUGCAAAGGACAUGAACAGACACUUCUCAGAAGACAUACAUGUGGCCAACAAACAUAAGAAAGAACUGAUUAUUAGAGAAAUGCAAAUUAAAACCACAAUGAGACACCAUCUCACACCAGUCAGAAUGGCUAUUAUUAAAAAGUCAAAAAACAACAGAUGCUGGAGAGGAUAUGGAGAAAUAGGAAGGCUUUUACACUGUUAGUUGGAGUGUAAAUUAGUUCAACCACUGUGGAAGACAGUGUGGUGAUUCCUCAAAGACUUAAAGGCAGAAAUACCAUUUGAUUCAGCAAUCCUAUUAUUGGGUAUAUACCCAGAGGAAUAGAAAUUAUUCUUUUACAAAGAUACGUGCACGUGUAAAAAUAAAAAGAUACGUGUACACGUAUGUUCAUUGUGGCACUAUUCACGAUAGCAAAGACAUAGAAUCAACCUGGACGCCCAUCAACAACAGACUGGAUAAAGGGAAUGUGGUAUAUAUACACCAUGGAGUGCUAUGCAACCAUAAAAAGGAAUGAGAACAUGUCCUUUGCAGGGACAUGAAUGGAGGUGGAAGCAAUUAUCCUCAGCAAACUAACACAGGAACAGAAAGCCAGUCACCGCAUGUUCUCACUUAUAAGGGGGAGCUGAACCACGAGAACACAUAGACACAUAGACGGUAACAACACACACGGGCCUCUCCAAGAAGGUGGGAUGGUGGGAGGGAGAACAUCAGGAAGAAUAGCUAAUGGAUGCUGGGCUUAAUACCUAAGGGAUGGGUUGAUCUGUGCAGGUCUGUGUAGCAAACUACCACGGCACACAUUUACUUAUAUAACAAACGUGCACAUCCUGCAAAGGUAUUCAGAACUUAAAAGUUGAAGAAAAAUAAGUUGAUUAAAUUCUAAUAAAAAAAGGUAAACAUACCUAAAUAACUAUGCUACAUUCUUUUUUAGAGAGAUUAAAUAAGACAUCAAUUAAAAAUGUUUAAUAUAUAAAUUUAUUGCAGUUAUAAAUUCCUGUGAGAACCAAUAGUGAAAAAUAAAUGGAUGACAUUAUCAAAACAUUUUCAUUGGGAAUAAGGAUGAACUCAGCAAACUUGGAAAACUGAACACACUGCAACAAUGAUCAAAAUCUUAUGGCCUUGGGUUAUUACAGUCGGAAAAAAGAAUCCAACCUAUAGGGCAAGGGAAAACCACAUAAUAAGUUGUCUUCCAAAUAGUUGGCUAACAGGCUGGAAAAAACAUCAUGUUAGAUACGUAAAUACACGGAAACAAACAGUAUAAUAAAUUCCAGCUGUAUCAAAAAGUAAAAGCCCUUUUUAAAAAAUGGAAGAGUGGUUUAUCUAUUUCCUAUGAGAAAAAGAACAUGCAUUUUUAUUUUCUUUUUUGAGACAGUGUCUCACUCUGUUGCCCACGUUGGAUUGCAGUGGUGUGAUCAUGGCUCACUGCAACCUCAGUCUCCCGGGGUCAAGCAAUCCUCCCAUCUCAUCCUCCCAAGUAGCUGUGACUACAGGCAUGCGUCACCAUGCCUUGCUAAUUUUUUAAUUGUUUGUGGAGACACAGUCUCACUAUGUUGCCCAACCUGGAGAACAUGCAUUUCUAAUCACUGCAGAAAACAAAGGUUGUUACCGGAAGCAGGGGUGAUUAAUUGAGCAGAUUUAAAUUUUUUAACUUUCAUGCAACAAAAUGUAAAAUAAAAAUGCUAUAAAGAAAACUUUCCAGUAUAGAAUAGAUAUAUUACAAAUAUAACGUGAUAAUAGCUUUCUCCCAAAAUAUAUGAAAAAAUAAAUGAUUAUGUAAGUCAAUAACCACUUUCCACUUGAUGAAUGGACAGUUUGCAGUUAGGAACAUUUAGACUACAUCAUUGUGUUUUUAAAAAUCAGUUUUAUUAAAAAAUGAAAAUAAAGGUUAAUUAAACUCACAUGAAGACUCUCUUACAGAUGCAUUAAACUGGAAGACAUUUUUUAUUUUUUAUUUUAUUUAUUUUUUUUUUGAGACGGAGCCUCACUCUGUCACCCAUGCUGGAGUGCUAUGAUGCGAUCUUGGCUCACUGCAACCUCUACCUCCCGGGUUCAAGCGAUUUUCUUGCCUCAGCCUCCCAAGUAGCUGGGUUUACAGGCACGUGCCACCACACCCGGCCUGUUUUUGUAUUUUUAGUAGAGAUGGGGUUUCACCAUGUUGUCCAGGCUGG